ACUUUCUAGAUGAGGACAUUGAAAAUCCUGAGAGAUCCGGUGACAGGCCACCUAAGAAGCUGGGAUCCAGGUUUCAAUGGCCAGUGUGCCUUUGCUGCACGGACCACAGCCUUAGCUGACCUCAGCUGAGUUGCUCACCUGUCACUUCGAGCCUUCAACAGACACUAAAGCCUAGAGUUGUUCCAUGUGGGAGAUACUGCUGCUGCUACUGCUAAGUCGCUUCAGUUGUGUCUGACUCUGUGCGACCCCAUAGACAGCAGCCCACCAGGCUCCCCCGUCCCUGGGAUUCUCCAGGGGAUCUUCCCGAGCCGGGGAUUGAACCUACAUCUCCAGCGUCUCCUGCAUUAGCAGGUAAAUUCUUUACCAAUGAGCCACCUGGGAAGCCCCCCUCUAACUUCAGGUGCUUUCAAAUCACCCAGAGGAUGCUGGGCCUACAUCACUGAGUUUGCACGACUAACAAUUUUGAAGGUGAUGCUGAUACUACUGGUUCAAAGACUAGCCUGUGGGAACCACAGCCUUAGACCAAGCUAAACGAGAAAGAGCACUAACUAGGAAUCGACAGACCCAGACUCUAAUCCUAGAUCUGUCAUGGUCUCGCUGUGUAACUUUACGGAAGUCAUUUGGCAUCUCAACUUCUGUUUCUCCAUUAAACGACAUACUUAAAU
ensembl:lncRNA